GGGGCAGCAUGGUCUUAGCUUGCUAAGGCUGAUGGCGACCGGCGCACGGGUGAGUAACACGUAUCCAACCUGCCGUCUACUCUUGGCCAGCCUUCUGAAAGGAAGAUUAAUCCAGGAUGGGAUCAUGAGUUCACAUGUCCGCAUGAUUAAAGGUAUUUUCCGGUAGACGAUGGGGAUGCGUUCCAUUAGAUAGUAGGCGGGGUAACGGCCCACCUAGUCAACGAUGGAUAGGGGUUCUGAGAGGAAGGUCCCCCACAUUGGAACUGAGACACGGUCCAAACUCCUACGGGAGGCAGCAGUGAGGAAUAUUGGUCAAUGGGCGAUAGCCUGAACCAGCCAAGUAGCGUGAAGGAUGACUGCCCUAUGGGUUGUAAACUUCUUUUAUAAAGGAAUAAAGUCGGGUAUGCAUACCCGUUUGCAUGUACUUUAUGAAUAAGGAUCGGCUAACUCCGUGCCAGCAGCCGCGGUAAUACGGAGGAUCCGAGCGUUAUCCGGAUUUAUUGGGUUUAAAGGGAGCGUAGAUGGAUGUUUAAGUCAGUUGUGAAAGUUUGCGGCUCAACCGUAAAAUUGCAGUUGAUACUGGAUGUCUUGAGUGCAGUUGAGGCAGGCGGAAUUCGUGGUGUAGCGGUGAAAUGCUUAGAUAUCACGAAGAACUCCGAUUGC
rnacentral:rRNA from 1 species